rnacentral:tRNA from 1 species
GCCCCCAUCGUCUAGCGGUCAAGGAUAUCUCCCUUUCACGGAGGAAACACGGGUUCGAAUCCCGUUGGGGGUA